rnacentral:lncRNA from 1 species
AUGCUCAAAAUUCUCCAAGCCAGGCUUCAGCAAUACGUGAACUGUGAACUUCAGAUGUUCAAGCUGGUUUUAGAAAAGGCAGAGGAACCAGAGAUCAAAUUGCCAUCAUCUGCUGGAUCAAGAGAGUUCCAGAAAAACAUCAAUUUCUGCUUUAUUGAGUAUGCCAAAGCCUUUGACUGUGUGGAUCACCACAAACUAUGGAAAAUUCUUAAAAAGGUGGGAAUACCAGAACAUCUGACCUGCCUCUUGAGAAAUCUGUAUGCAGGUCAGGAAGCAACAGUUACAGCUGGACAUGGAACAACAGACUGGUUCCAAAUAGGGAAAGGAGUACAUCAAGGCUGUAUACUGUCAGCCUGCUUAUUUAACUUCUAUGCAGAGUACAUCAUGAGAAACUCUGGGCUGGAGGAAGCACAGGCUGGAAUCAAGAUUGCCGGGAGAAAUAUCAAUCACCUCAGAUAUGCAGAUGACACCACCCUUAUGGCAGAAAGUAAAGAAGAACUAAAGAGCCUCUUGAUGAAAGUGAAAGUGGAGAGUGAAAAAGUUGGCUUAAAGCUCAACAUUCAGAAAACGAAGAUCAUGGCAUCUGGUCCCACCACUUCAUGGCAAAUAAAUGGGGAAACAGUGGCUGACUUUAUUUUGGGGGGCUCCAAAAUCACUACAGAUGGUGACUGUAGCCAUGAAAUUAAAAGAUGCUUACUCCUUGGAAGGAAAGUUAUGACCAACCUAGACAGCAUGUUAAAAAGCAGAGACAUUACUUUGCCAACAAAGGUCCAUCUAGUCAAGGCUAUGGUUUUUCCAGUAGUCAUGUAUGGAUGUGAGAGUUGGACUAUAAAGAAAGCUGAGUACCAAAAAAUUGAUGCUUUUGAACUGUGGUGUUGGAGAAGACCCUUGAGAGUCCCUUGGACUGCAAGGAGAUCCAACCAGUCCAUCCUAAAGGAGAUCAGUCCUGAGUGUUCAUUGAUUCGACUGAUGUUGAAGCUGAAACUUCAGUCUUUGGCCACCUGA